AGGAUUCGUUCAUAACGACACUGCAGACAAAAAAUCUAUCAAAACGGAACACCGCAAAGCGAAAUACUUAAAACAGCACAUGCUAUGUUUCAUUCUUACGGAUUUCUUUUCCAUGUUCCAUUUUAAUGGAUUGCUUUAUUUUUGUUUCGUAUCUGUGUAUUGAGCGACGAAAGUCUCAUUUUCAUUUCAACCGCAUCAUAUUUGAUAUGACUGUAUUGGAGUACUUAUAUACAUAGGGACAUUUGUCAGACGAAUCAGUUAGAAUUGUGCACACGAUCUAGUCCAAAGCACAAGUGAAAUUCCAUAUUUUAUCCGUAUUUUAACUGAUAACACAGCAUAGUUCCUUGAAAUUGAGCGAAAUGCAUUUUGCUAAAAUAGCUACGUUCUUGUUUUUUAUCGUGAUGUUAGUUCUCUGUUUGGCGGUGGAUGACCAACAAAAAAAGCCAGAUAAACCACGUCCAAUCGGUGAUAUCCCGAAGAAAAAUUCUAGUGUUGCAAUUUGGGCAGGACUACCGCCGAGGAAAAGAAACGGAUAACAUGUGCAUACUGUAUCAUCUAAAAAAUAAACAAACUGACCACCUUUUUGGAAGAAAAAUAAAAACAUAUUUCGAAAUUUCGAGAAAAG